CUGCGCCUCAGCCUGGUACCGUGCCUGUGCCGUUCUGGUCCUCCGCCCUCCGCAUCUGCCUGGUACCGUGCUAGUGCCGCCUUCGCAUCCGUCCUCCGCCUGGGUCUCCGCCCUCCGCGGCUCCGCCUUGCGACUUUACCCUGCACGGCCCGCCGCCGGCCGGUCGCCCGUCCGGAGCCACUGACCCGAGUUUCCGUCCAGCACUCCAGCGACCAGCGCCUGUUCGUCCAGAGUACCAACAGAUCUCGUCAAGAGGUCUGA
rnacentral:misc_RNA from 1 species